UACGUAGGGGGCAAGCGUUGUCCGGAUUUACUGGGCGUAAAGAGCGCGUAGGCGGUCGGUUAAGCGUGGCUUGAAAGCCCCCGGCUCAACCGGGGAGGGCGGCUGCGAACUGGCUUUCUUGAGGUCGAUAGAGGAGAGCGGAAUUCCUGGUGUAGCGGUGAAAUGCGUAGAGAUCGGGAGGAACACCAGAAGCGAAGGCGGCGACCUGGACAGGCACUGACACUCAACUACGAAAGCGUGGGGAGCAAACAGG
rnacentral:rRNA from 1 species